UACAGGGGGGGCAAGCGUUGUUCGGAAUUACUGGGCGUAAAGGGCUCGUAGGCGGCCAACUAAGUCACACGUGAAAUCCCCAGGCUUAACCUGGGAACUGCGUGUGAUACUGGAUGGCUUGAAUCCGGGAGAGGGAUGCGGAAUUCCUGGUGUAGCGGUGAAAUGCGCAGAUAUCAGGAGGAACACCGAUGGCGAAGGCAGGUCUCUGGGCCGAUACUGACGCUGAGGAGCGAAAGCGUGGGGAGCGAACAGG
rnacentral:rRNA from 1 species